rnacentral:rRNA from 1 species
GGGCCCGCACAAGCGGUGGAGCAUGUGGUUUAAUUCGAUGAUACGCGAGGAACCUUACCAGGGCUUAAAUGUAAGUUGCAUAGACCAGAGAUGGUCUUUUUCUUCGGACUACUUACAAGGUGCUGCAUGGUUGUCGUCAGCUCGUGCCGUGAGGUGUCAGGUUAAGUCCUAUAACGAGCGCAACCCCUGUCGUUAGUUGCCAGCAAGUUAUGUUGGGUACUCUAGCGAGACUGCCGGUGCAAACCGAGAGGAAGGUGGGGACGACGUCAAAUCAUCACGGCCCUUACGUCCUGGGCUACACACGUCGCUACAAUGGCCGGUACAGAGAGCAGCCACUACGCGAGUAGGAGCGAAUCUACAAAAACCGGUCUCAGUUCGGAUCGCAGUCUGCAACUCGACUGCGUGAAGCUGGAAUCGCUAGUAAUCG